GGGCGGCGCGGCCAGCAGUGGACUCUUAAUCCGCGGGUUGUAGGUUCAAGUCCUACGCGGCGCA
rnacentral:tRNA from 1 species